GCGCGCGCGAACGGCGCAUUCUUUUGAUUAACGCGCCGACAAUCGUGCGAGUGCUCUCUAGUCUCCGGUCCGAUCUGCGAGGAGAGGGACGAGGGCGACGGCCUUCUCUCGCGGUUUAGUUGACAACACGCUCGCUUACGAAUCACCGACCUUCGAUCGCAUUGACUUUAUCCUGUUCAUGGCGACCGACGAGGCAACUUCGCAGUCCAACCGAGAGUUCAGACAGUUUUAUUUGGAAUGGUUUCUCAUUAUCAGCAACGGUGAGCCAUAAUUGACAAAUCAACGUGUACGAGCGAAAGGGGAGUGCAAGUGAGAUUAAGAGGGCAAAAACUGGAAAAUGGCACAUAGAGGCUGAUUCACUUUGCGCACAUACGAGCUACAGAGUGGCGUUCUCCGUCGAAAAUUGAAGCAAGUUUUCUC